CGGCACGCGACGAUUCUAUUUUAGAAACGGUUUCUAUUUUUCUGGGAAGUUGCGGCUGGAACAACAACACAAAGUAUGGCAAUGAUAAUCUCAGGCGUGUCCAAGGCUCAGUUUGAAGGAAGAGAGAAAGAAAACACGGUUGUAAUGAGAAGAAUGAAAAGGGUGUCCUUCGAUUUGAUUUGAGGUCUCCAGUCCUUGCUCUCCUCACCUUUGUGUUAAUAUCAUCUUAUGUCUCAGAAAUUACUUUAUGAACCCAUAAAAGACACUUGGGAUUUUUGCAAGAUACCAUCUGUUGGGUCACGUUGAAGGCUCAAACGUUUCCGCUUUGAAUUAUUUUCUCCAUAACCUUCAUUGCUUCAUGUCGUUGGUCUUUGUGCUCUCACUGGAUUGUCAAUGGAGUCCAAAGGAGAUUGUAAGAAUCCCUUUGGGAUCAAGGCUGGACUUUUGUGCUUGACUAUCAAGAUCCCAAAGGGACACACUGCCUUCAAUGGACUUAAAACCUUCAAAAGCCUUUGCAGGGUCACUUAUCCCGUCAUGCUGGUGUGGAUGUCUUGAACUGGAGGAAGGUCCAGGACUUUGCAGAGUGGAAGAUUCGGCUUAUGGCUGUCGUAUGUGGUUUACUGAUGAUCCUGUGAUCCUGUUUGGAUGGCGUCUGGUAUUCAGAUAUCCAUCCUUCUCCACUCAUGUCCUCAAGGGACACAGAUCUUCCUGAUGAGAUUUCCACCAGGCAUAUCGGAUCCCGGUUUGUCUGAAGAUGCUUGUCACAUCCCAUGUUCCACAGAGAAGUUUCACAAAACAUCUAAGGAAAGAAUAAAACGAAAUAAAAACUGUUAUUUGCGCUGCUGCUUGUGCAAGAUAGAUGUAGCCAUAGCCUUCUCUAUUUAUAAAGUUUUAGGUCAGAUACGGAAAAAUUUACUGUUUUUCAAUUUUUUACUAAUAUGUGUAUGUUUUCCUUGAAGCUUGAAAUAUUAUGUAAAAAAAAAAAAAAAAAAAAAAGUUCAGUAACUUGUAUUACACUUUUAACCACUGGGUGGCACUAUGUUGCAAGCUAAUAGCGGUUUCUUUGAGACAAAUCUGUAUUCAAAUGUCAAGACAUUUUGUCUUAUUGAAGAUAUGUAUACACUAAAAAGUAUAAUCGUUCAUAUCGAUUAGUUUAAAUAACUGGAAACCGAAGAAAAAAAAAAUAUGGAGCAUCCGCACAAACAAUCUUUAUAAAAGGAGUUUCUGUCUUGUAAUCUCAAACGACAGGUAUUGGGCUAUCGUACAAUGCGAAGAGAAAAGUAACAGUUCACACGUGACAUUACGAUCAACGCGCUUAAAAAUAACUGCUGAAUAAAAAGAAUAUAGGUAGCUAUUUGAAUAACCACUAAAAAGUUACGUUUAUUCAUUUUUUAGACAAUUAUAUAAUAAACGUCUGCGCCAGUAAAACCAGCUUAUCCUCACACAGCUGUUUCAUGUCCAUGACUAAUUUAUGAUAUAGACCUAAUCUAUUAUUUUUACCUAAAUGGACUAUCGUUAGUUAUUAAUUUAAGAUGGUCAGGAACUAGUCUAUGAUGCCAAAAAUGUAGGCAGUCUAUAACUUUGCCUAAUUCGAAGUCUGACCUACUUUAAGAACUUUGCAUUUGGAAAUGGACGCCUUCACUGUUUGCAUAAAGAAAAAAAAGGGAACAGAAGCUGAACAAAACAAUCAAAUCUUACCUUGAUUUUGUCUGACUGAUUUCGCCUCGUCGUCUGUUAAUGCGAUGAAUGUCAACAAUGCGACUACAGCGUCAUCAAACGCAGCUUUUAAACUAGGUUUUAUUGCACCUGAAGGUAGAUUCCCAAGACAAUUAACCACAAAAUGUAGAAUACGGAGUCCAAAGGUCCUCUGUAAACUCUUAAAAGUGACACAAGGUGUCUUCUUAUGGUGC